rnacentral:rRNA from 1 species
UACGAAGGGGGCUAGCGUUGCUCGGAUUGACUGGGCGUAAAGGGCGCGUAGGCGGAUAGUACAGUCAGGCGUGAAAUUCCUGGGCUCAACCUGGGGGCUGCGUUUGAUACGUGUUGUCUGGAGUUCGGAAGAGGGUCGUGGAAUUCCCAGUGUAGAGGUGAAAUUCGUAGAUAUUGGGAAGAACACCAGUGGCGAAGGCGGCGACCUGGGCCAAUAUUGACGCUGAGGUGCGAAAGCGUGGGGAGCGAACAGG